rnacentral:lncRNA from 1 species
UCUAGGGUUUAGCUCCUCAUUCUCUUUCCGGCGCCGAAUCAGUGGCCGCCAUUGUAGAAUUGUGUAGUUUUAGUUUUUAUAUAUCAACUGUAUUUGUAUAUUUUGCACUUCGCAUUUCUAUAAGCUUCGCUAAAUUCUCAAAAUAGUGCAGUCUUACAGCGAUUAGUGCAUAAAGGAAAAGCUGAAUUUAUCAGCGGCGGCCAGACAACCGUUGAGAUGAAUCCACAGAUUGGUUCCGUUUUUGCUCCUGUCUACUAAUUUCAUCUCACAUUUUGUUUUAAUUAUUUCUGUAGUUUUUUCACUUUGAUGGUACACUUUUGAAAUUGGGGCGAGUUUUUCAGUACUCGUAUAAUCCAAAGUAUAUAUAUCAUCAUAGAAUAAGCCGUCUUUGUUGAUGUAGCAGUUGAUUUUUUCUGUUUUCCUUCUGGAAGAUAGAAGGAUCCUGCGUUUUAAUCCGAAGAUGGAGAUCUCAUAUCCUAUUGCCUUGAAGAGCGGAAUCUCUGCUAUUACUAUUUGGGAUUGACCAUGAGAAAUACAUUCAUUUCAACUAUUUUUUAUAUGUUUUGCCUGUGAUGAAAUCUAUUAUAAAGAACACCAUCUUUCGGGACUGAAUGGCCCUCAAGGCCUUGUUGUCAAUUCUGCAAUUCUGAGGCCUUCAAGUAUGAGUAUUAAUUAGAUUUCUGCUUGAGCUAUGUUUAAUUGAGAUGGAAGUGAUGAAUUUUUCCCCAGAUGAUCGAAGUUGAAAUUACUGAGCGCUUUUUAUGUAUUUUCUCCUUAUAGGGGAAAAUUCAAGCCAGAUAUUCUGAUCCGUCUCCAUUUUUUCUUCCAUUUUCUCUCUUCAAUCUUAAAAAAUGUGUCUUUUCUGAGUUUAUUAUGAAUUUUUUGGAUUACUUUGUUUAUGGAUGUGAUGAAUAUUUCCCCAGAUGAUCGAAACUGAAAUAACUGAGCGCUUUUUAAUGUUUUUUCUCCUCUUUAGGGGAAAAUUCAAGCCAGAUAUUCUGAUCCAUAUGUAUUAAUUUCAAUUGUUUUCUAUGUUUUGAUUGUUAGUAAUGUUAAUUUGUUAAUUGAAUUUGUUGCAUGGAGGUGAUGAUUAUUUCCCCAGAUGAUCGAAGUUGAAAUUACUGAGCGCUUUUUCAUGUUUUUUCUCCGUUCAGGGGAAAAUCCAAGCCAGAUAUUCUGAUCCAUAUACUUGCAAUAUUGUUAUUUAUGUUUGUUGAAAUGCGUCGAUAUACUGAUUACCAUCGAUGUUUAUAUACUAUGAUCGCUGUGUAUGAGCCGACGCCAUAUGUAUAUUCCAUUUCUGCUUCAUAAUUUGUUUCAUUUAGCUCUUUAAAGAGCUGUUUGAACCAGAUUUGGAUAUAUUAUCAUUGUUUAAUUUGAUUGAAGUAGGAGAUGGAAGUGAUGAUUUUUUCCCCAGAUGAUCGAAGCUGAAAUUACUGAGCGCUUUUUAUGUAUUUUCUCUAAAUCAGGGAUAAUCCAAGCCAGAUAUUCUGAUCCGUCUCCGUUUAUAUGAAUUUUUUUUGAUCUUUUUGUGUUUUUAUGAACUAAUUUGAUUGAUUAUUGAUGAAUUUGUGUUUAUGGAUAUGAUGAUCAUUUCCCCAGAUGAUCGAAGCUGAAAUUACUGAGCGCUUUUACUGUAUUUUCUCCUUAUUGGGGAAAAUCCAAGCCAGAUAUUCUGAUCCAUAUACCAAUUUAUGGUUUGUGUUGAUGUCAAUUCAUGUCUUUCAGUGCAAUUAUUCCAAUUUCUGUGUCAUUUUGGUAUAAUUUGUGAUGAUUUACAUUGAUUUGGGAUAAGUUCUUGCUGUAUUGUAGGACUCAAAAUGCAAAAAUAAUUGUACUAAGUUCAUGUCUUUGUUGAUUUUAUAGUGUUUGGGGAUUAUCCAAUGAUGGCAUUAAAUCUUUGAGACCUGAAUUAUCAAUUUUGAUGACACCUACAAGCAUUUUUUCUGACCUACAUCUUCGCAACUGUUCAUAUUGUUGUACAAGUGUAACCUAUAAAGACUUAUAUCAUAUGAUGUUUUAGAGAUAAAUAGUUGUGUCUUUAUCAUAUAUGAGGAUUUAGAUAUAUAAUAGUUGUUUCUUUAUCCUAUGAGGAUUUAGCUAUGUAAUAGUUGUUUCUUUAUCAUAUAUGAGGUUUUAGAGAUGUAAUAGUUGUUUCUUACUAUAUGUGUGGAUUCAAUCAUUUGAGAUCAAUAAAUUUCACAUUUUGUUUUAUACUCCUUGUAGUUAUAAUAUUUUGAUGGUACACUAUUGAAAUUGGGGCGAGUUUUUCAGUACUCGUAUAACCCAAUGUAUCUAUAUCAUCAUAUAAUAAUCUGUCUUUGUUGAUUUAGCAGUUUGUUUUUUCUGUUUUCCUUCGGGGGAAGACAGUUGAAUCCUGCGUUUUAAUCCGAAGAUGGAGAUCUCAUAUCCUAUUGCCUUGUGGAGCGGAAUCUCUGCAAUUACUAUUUGGGAUUGACCAUGAGAAAUACAUUCAUUUCAACUAAUUUUUAUAUGUUUGUCUUGUUAUGAAAUCUAUUAUAAAGAUCAUCAUUUUUGUCAAUUCUGCAAUUCCGAGUCCUUCAUCAAUGAGUAUCUAUUAGUUUUUCUCAUUCAAACUUUGUUAGGAAAAUUGAUUUUUUUUCUUGUGUUUGAGAUGGAACUGAUGAAUAUUUCCCCAGAUGAUCGAAGCUGAAAUUACUGAGCGCUUUUUAUGUAUUUUCUCCUUAUAGGGGAAAAUCCAAGCCAGAUAUUCUGAUCCGUCUCCGUUUAUAUGAAAAAGUUUUGAUCUUUUUUUUUGUUUUUGAACUAGUUUGAUUGAUUUUACUAUAUUUUCUCCUUAUAGGGGAUAAUCCAAGCCAGAUAUUCUGAUCCAUAUACCAAUUUAUGUUUUGCUUUUGUUAAGUUCUGUUCUUUCUUAUUGUAUAUCAGUGCAUUUUGUACAAUUUGUGAUGAUUUACAUUGAUAUGGGACAAGUUCUUCUGUAUUGUAUGACUCGUAAUGCUAAAAUCAUUGCACAGUGUUCUUUUCUUUGUCGAUGUAUAAAGUGUUUGGAUAUAUUUUUUCUUCAAAUAAUUUGUUUGAUUGAAUUAUGAUGUGUAAGGAUGAUGAAGAAAUCAUUCGGAUUCCCACUGAUGUAUAUACGUGAUUACUACAACCAGCUACUUCUGACUUCACAUCAAUUCUCUAUGUUUUCAAGUAUUUUUUUUUGCGUAUUUGGGGAUUUCCAGUGAUGGCAUGAAAUCUUUGAGACCUGAAUUCUCAAUUUUGAUGACAACUACAAGCAAUUUUUCUGAGGAUUUUCCCCAUUGUUUUUUAAGGCUGACAUUUUUUCAACUGUUAAUAUUGAUCUAUUAUGUUAGGUUUUAAAGAUGUGUUCUACUAAUCUCAAAACCAGCCAUUUGAAUGUAGUACAACUGAUUCACCUGUUGCAACAUGUCAACCACCCUUAUUAAUGGAGGAACUUGGGUGACAAUGCUACGCACUUUAACGGAGCAGAACAUGGUGGUGGACAGGCUUAGCAGGGAAAGCCUCAAUUGCUGAAAUUUUGGAAGACCAACAUUUUUCAUAGUUCCUCUACUGUUUUCAAGUAGAGUAGUAUAGACAUUUGGGAACUAUGUAUGUACUCAAGAAAGCUUUGAAUUUUUGUAUCUCUUUGUUAAAACUACUUAAUAUGAUGCCUCACAAUUUAUAUUGGUAAUCUAUUUUGAUUCAAUCAUUAUGACCAAAGAGUGAUGCAUAUGCAAUCUUCUAUUUUGUGAAGCUAAAAUUUUUAUUCAAAAGGAUGUUGAGGUUUGUUUAAA